rnacentral:rRNA from 1 species
UGGGGAAUAUUGGACAAUGGGGGCAACCGUGAUCCAGCAAUGCCGCGUGUGUGAUGAAGGCCUUAGGGUUGUAAAGCACUUUCACUGGUGAAGAUGAUGACGGUAACCAGAGAAGAAGCCCCGGCUAACUUCGUGCCAGCAGCCGCGGUAAUACGAAGGGGGCGAGCGUUGUUCGGAAUUACUGGGCGUAAAGGGCGCGUAGGCGGUCUUUUAAGUUAGGCGUGAAAGCCCCGGGCUCAACCCGGGAACUGCGCUUAAGACUGGAAGACUAGAAAACGGAAGAGGGUAGUGGAAUUCCCAGUGUAGAGGUGAAAUUCGUAGAUAUUGGGAAGAACACCAGUGGCGAAAGCGGCUACCUGGUCCGAUUUUGACGCUGAGGCGCGAAAGCGUGGGGAGCAAACAGGAUUAGAUACCCCUGGUAGUCCACCGCCGUAAACGAUGUCUGCUAGAUGUCGGGGGGUUGCCCCUCCGGUGUCGCCGCUAACGCAUUAAGCAGACCGCCUGGGAAGUACGGUCGCCAGAUUA